ACGGGGUGCAGCAGGCGCGAAAACUUCACACUGGGGGCAACCCCGAUGAGGGAAAUCCUAGUGCUAGGACUUUUGUUCUAGCUUUUCUCAAGCGUAGAUAACUAGGGGAAUAAGGGCUGGGUAAGACGGGUGCCAGCCGCCGCGGUAAUACCCGCAGCCCGAGUGGUGGUCGAUUUUAUUGAGUCUAAAACGUUCGUAGCCGGUCUGAUAAAUCCCUGGGUAAAUCGGGUGGCUUAACCAUCCGAAUUCCGGGGAGACUGUCAGGCUUGGGAUCGGGAGAGGUAUGAGGUACUUCAGGGGUAGGGGUAAAAUCCUGUAAUCCUUGGGAGGACCACCGGUGGCGAAGGCGUCAUACUAGAACGAAUCCGACGGUGAGGGACGAAGCCCUAGGUCGCAAACGGGAUUAGAUACCCCGGUAGUCUAGGGUGUAAACGCUGCAGACUAGGUGUUGGAGGGCCCUUACGGGGGCACCCAGUGCCCCGAGAGAAGUUGUUAAGUCUGCUUACUUGGGGAGUUACGUCCUGCCAAGGAUUGAAACUUAAAGGAAAUUGGCGGGGGAGCAC
rnacentral:rRNA from 1 species